GCACCCAUGGCUCAGCUCUGUAGAGCGUUGCCCUCCGAAGGCAAAGGUCACACGUUCGAAUCGUGUCGGGUGCGCCA
rnacentral:tRNA from 1 species